CUUAUAUGGCAGUACGUCCUC
rnacentral:miRNA from 1 species